rnacentral:rRNA from 1 species
GACGUAGGGCGCGAGCGUUGUCCGGAUUUAUUGGGCGUAAAGAGCUCGUAGGCGGUUUGUCGCGUCCGCUGUGAAAAUCCAGGGCUUAACCCUGGACCUGCAGUGGGUACGGGCAGACUAGAGUGCGGUAGGGGAGAUCGGAAUUCCAGGUGUAGCGGUGAAAUGCGUAGAUAUCUGGAGGAACACCGGUGGCGAAGGCGGCAUCCUGGACCGGUAUUGACGCUGAGGCGCGAAAGCCAGGGGAGCAAACGGG